rnacentral:lncRNA from 1 species
UCUCUUUACUCUUCACACUUCCUAAGUCUGCAGAGUUUCUUGGCCACAAAAACUCCCCAAAGGGUGCGGCUCGCUCUUCUGCAGCUGACACAAGGACCCCUGCUGCCACACUCGUCUUCCCGAUGCCAUUUUCUCGGUGUUCACACAGCUCUUUCUGUGAGCUGUUCAUUUUAACUAAAGCUGCAUCCCACAGCUUAUUUUUGUAGUGACCCCAGAUCAACAGGCCAACUAUUAAUACUCUGGCCAUGAAUCUGAUGUAAAGCAAUGCUGUGAAUUUAAUAUCAAGCAAAAGCUUAAUUGAUGAAACUCCAGCUUGUUUUGUUGUUGCUGCUUUUACAUAAUACGUCAAAUGGAGAUGGUUCAGGGAAACCUAAUGAAGACCGCGUGGCCAUGGCCCACCAGACAGUCACACAAAUAAAACACGUUUGGAAUGAAAUCCUAUUCCAAGCCUCAUCAUACAUGAAUCUUACAUUAAAUGAAGAGAUAACAUUCUCUGGGCAUGGGCCACUGCAUCUGGCCAGUAGACAUGUAAUACUAUGCAGUGAUUAUGUACAUCUAUGUCUGUUGAUAUAGAUUUUCAUAAUAAGUGAAGAAAGCAGGUUAUAAAACUGCAUAGAAAGAUGCCAUUUAAGUCAGACCACAUAUGUAUGUGUAGGAUUCAUACAAAAGAAUGAAAAGAUAGGCAAAUAUUCAUCAAAAGAGAGGGGAUUAAUUAAAUUUCAAGCUUUUACGUCAUGCGUUUCUUUAGCCUGCAGUAUUACUUUUGUAAUUAGAAAAAGGCUAUUUCAAUAUGAUUUAGAAACUAUAAAAAAUACUACAUGGAUAGAGAAUUCCUGGAAGGAGACUGGGAUUAAAGUACACUUCUGUACUUAAAAAAAAAAGAUCAGGUCUUCCCUUUUAGGGUAGUCAAUCCUGUAAUUCCAGCACUUUGGGAGGACGAGGCCAGGCGUUCAAGACCAGCCUGGCCAACAUGGCGAAACCCUGUCUCUACUAAAAAUACAAAAAUUAGCUGGGUGUGGUGGCAUGUACCUGUAUUCUCGGCUACUCGGGAGGCUGAGGCAGGAGAAUCACUUGAACCCGGGAGGAGGAGGUUGCAGUGAGCCAAGAUCGCGCCUCUGCACUCCAGCCUGGGAGACAGAGAGAGACUCGAUCUCAAAAUAAAAAGAAAUAAAGAAAAGAAAAGAGAAGAAAAAAGAUUAUAUGCACAGGAUUCAACAGUAAUAGCUCAAAACAUAACUGACCUAGAUUCUUUCAAAUAGCAAGAUCAGAUUAAUAAUAUUAUAGCUGCAUUUUAUAUUUUUCUCUUAAAAUUCUUUGCCUGCUCAAUUAAAGAAUACAUACCCAAAGAAAGCAAGAUAUAAUGACGUUUUUUAUAUACAAUUUUAAAUCCCUAUCAUUUAUUUAAAAUCUAGACGUAGCUUUGAUCUAUUGAAUUAAACUGCGUACCAUCAAAGAGGGUGUAAUUCUUCAGUCAAUAAAUCUAACGGUGCAGGUCAGUGCCAGGCACCAGCAAGUUGUAGGAGGACCUUUGGUAGAUAAUUCCUUCCUGUACAUUUUUGUUCUAAAGAAUGGUACCAACACAGCAUUGGAAACUGAGGAAAAAAGCAAAUAUGGCAUCCAAAUGCUUUACAGAGGAGUACUUCCUAGUACUUUACAGAAUUUUCCGUUUGAUUUUAUGUUCAAACACAUUAAUUUCAUGGUGUCUUACUUUCAGCAGGUUUCAGUCCUUGAGGAGCGCUCACUAGGAUGGUAAUUGUUUGAUCGAUAGAUUAAGUGAGUUGGAAGACUCUCCAAGUGAAAAUUUAAAAUUACUGCAGUUUUGGCCUGAUGAUGUUAACCAGCAAGAACAGAAUCUGAAACCAGAUGAGCUGUUAGUACUGCUUUCAUCUGUUUUACAGCCACAGCGACAGCAGUUCCCUGGCUUCUGGAAGGAGUGUCGGUCUAUCCAAAAAAUGUACUAACAGAUAUGUAAAGUCUGUCAUCCAUUUGCAGCAAAUUUUGCCUACGGUAUGAAAUAGGAGUUCAAUUUGACAUUGAAUAUUGAUAUCUUAGCAAUAUUAUCUCCCAAUCUGUGAACACGAAAUUUCUUUAUAUUUAUUCAAAUUAUCUUUGGUUUUUAAUGAUGUUAAAUCCAAGUAUUCUUUGUGAUGCUGUUGUAAAUGGAAUUUUUUGUGUUGUUCAUUGCUAAUGUAUAAAAACCAAUGAUGUUUGUAUAUUAAUCUUGUAUCCUGCAACCUCAUUGAACUAGUUUAUUAGCUCUAGUAAUAUGUUGGUGUGAAUCCCUUAAUAUUUUCUACAUACAAGAUCAUGUCAUCUGCAAAUUGUUUUACUUCUUCCUUUCCAAUUUGGAUGCUUUUUAUUUCAUCUUGCCUACUGCUUUGGCUACAACCUCCAGUACAAGAUUGAAUAGAAGUGAUGAGACAGAACAUCCUUGUCUUAUUUGUGAUCUCUGGGGGGGAAGGCUUACAGUAUUUUGCAUCAACAUAUCAGCUACGGGUUUUUCAUAGAUGUCCUUUCUCAGGAUGAAAAAGUCCAUGUUUGGCUUUUUGAAUGUUUUCAUCUAAGAGUUUUGGAUUUUGCCAAAUGUUAAAUGCUUCUUCUGUAUGCAUUGAGAUGAUCUUGUUGUUUUUGUCCUUUAUUCUAAUAAUAUGGUGUACUACAUUGAUUUCUGUAUGUUGAAGUUUGUAUUCCUAAGAUAAAUCUCACUUGCUUAUGGUGUACAUUCCUUUCUAUAUGUUGCUGGAUUUACUUUCAUUAGUAUUUUGUUGAGGAUUUUUGCCUCUAUAUUGAGGGCUAUUGGCCUGUAGUUGUUUUCUUUGCCUGAUUUCUAAUGUGGGUGAUACUGAAUUGGGAAGGGUAUCCUCCUUCUCUGUUUUUUGGUGUUUGUGAAUAAUUGGUGGUAUUCUGUAAAUGUUUGACAGAAUUCACCAGUGAAGACAUCUGCUCCUGGACUUUUUCCCGUGGGAAGUUUGUUUUUAAGAGAUGGGAGUCUCACUCUCACCCAGGCUGGAGUGCAGUGGUGUGACAAUAGCUCACUACAGCCUUGAACUUGUGGGCUUAAGGGAUACUUCCACCUCAGCCUCCCAAGUAGCUGGGACUGCAGGUGUGCACCACCACACCUAUUUUUUUUUAAUUUAUUUUUUUUUAGAGACAAGGUCUCACUAUGUUGCCCAGGCUGGUCUUAAACUUCUGGCCUAAAGCCAUCCUCCUGCUUCAGCCUCCCAAGUAGCUGGCAUUACAUGUGUGAGCCACCAUGCCUGGCUGUGGGAAGUUUUUUGAUUACUCAUUAAUUUAAUCUCUUGUUUGGAUCUAUUUAAAGUUUUUAUUUCUUCUUCAGUUUUGAUAUGUCUUUCUAGAAAUUUGUCCAUGUCAUCUAAGUUCCCUAAUUUGUUGUCAUAUGAACUCUUAUUUUUAUUUCCAUAAGAUUGGUAGUAGUCUUUCAUUCCUGACUUUGGUAAUCUAUCUUCUCUAUUUUUUUUUCUAGGCUGCCUAAGGGUGUGUCAACUUUAUUGACUUUUUCUAAGAACCAGCUUUCGGUUUGAUUUUCUCUGUUUUUCUUUCUAGGCUGCCUAAGGGUUUGUCAACUUUAUUGACUUUUUCUAAGAACCAGCUUUUGGUUUGAUUUUCUCUGUUUUUCUUUCUAUCCUCUAUUUCAUUUAUUUUGAUUCUAAUCCAUAUUAUUUCUUUGUUCUGCUUGCUUUAGGUUUAGUUUGCUAUUAUUUUCUAGUUUCUGAAGGUUUAGAGCUAGGUUAUUGAUUUGAAGCUUUUAACAGAGACAUUUAUAGCUAUACAUGGUCCUUUAAGUGAUGGUUUAGCUGCAUCUCAUAAGUUCUGGUAUGUUCUGUUAUUUUCAUUACUCUCUUAAGGGACUUUGUAAUUUCCCUUGUGAUUCUUUUCUUUGACCCAUUGGUUAAAAGGAAUGUACUGUUUAAUUUCCACAUUUUUUUAGGUUUCCCAAAUUUUCUUCCAAUUUUAAAUUUCAUCCCAUUGUGGUCAGAGAACGUGUUUUGUAUAAUUUCAACGAUUAAAAUUAUGCCUUCUUGAUGGAUUGUCCCUUUUAUUAUGUAAUGUCUUUGUCUCUACUAACAAUUUUUAUCUUAAAGUCUGUUUUGUCUGAUGUUAUAUCCACUCAAGCUUUUUCCUUACAGUUUACAUGUGUUUUUUUCAUCCUUUUACUUUCAGCCUACUUGUGUCAUUGAAUCUAAAGUGUUUCUUAGUGGGCAGCAUAUAGUUGGACCAUGAUUUUUAUCCAUUCUACCAUCUUUGCCUUUUGAGUGUUUAAUCCAUUUAUGCUUAAUGCCAAUUACUGAUAAGGCAGGGUUUAGUCUGCCAUUUUGCUAAUUUUUUUCUUUUUUUUUUUUUUUAAUAGAGACAAGGCCUCACUAUGUUGUCCAUGCUGGCCUUGAACUCCCCAGGCUCAAGCAAUCCUCCUGCUUCAGCCUCCCAAAGUGCUGGGAUUAUAGGCAUGAGCCACUGUGACCAGAUUUUUUGCUUUCUAUGUCUUUUGUCUUUUUUGUUCCUUUAUUCCUCUGUUACUUCCAUAUCUUCUUUUGUUAGCAGCUAUUUUCUAGUGUACCAUUUUCUUUGUUGUAGCUUUUACUAUAUAUUCUCUAGCUAUGUUCUUAGUGUUUUUCCUGAGGAUUAUUAACAUUUCAAUUUAUAACAACCUAGUUUGGAAUAAUGCUAACUUCAACAGUAUAGAAAAAUUUUCUUCCUAAGUCUCUUCCCUCCUCCUUCCUUUGUAAUGUUGUCAUACAAAUUGUUUUUUCACCUUAUGCCCAGAUUUUUAAUUAUUGUUUUAUGCAGUUGCCUCAAAUCAGAUAGGAGGAAAGUUACCAAAAAUGCAUUUGUACUGCCUUUUAUAUUUACCAAUAUAACUACCUUUACCAGUGCUAUUUCUUCAUGUGCAUUUGAGUUACUAUUAUCUUUUCGUUUCAGCCUUUAAGUUCUCUGUUUUUCUUGUAGAGCAGCCUUGCUAAUAAAUUCUGUUUUUGUUUAUCUGGGCAUGUCCUAAUCAUUUCUGAAGGAUAGUUUUGCUGGAAAUAGAAUGCUUAUUUGAUAGUCAUUCACUUUCAGCACUUGGAAUACAUCAUCCCACUGUUUUCUACACUCCAUAGUUUCUGAUGAAGAUCCCUAGUACACGAGUCACUUCUCUCUUUGCUUCCAAGAUGCUUUGGUACACAGUGUGAUUUUGUAUCCAGGCACGGAUCUCUUGAGUUUAUACUACUUAAGGUUCAUUGAGCUUCUUGGGUAUGUAAAUCAAUGCUUUUCAUCAAAUUUCAGUCUUUGGCCAUUAUUUUUUUUUAAAAUAUUCUACCUCUUUCUCUCCUCUCGUCUGGGACUCCAAUUAUGCAUAUAUUGGUAUGCAUGAUGGUGUGCCACAGCUCUCUGAGGCUCUAUUCAUUUUUCUUUAUUCUUUUUUCUGUUUCUCAGACUAGAUAGAGUUCCUCUCAUGAAUUUUUCAUUUCAGUUAUUGUAUUUUCAACUUCAUGAUUUAUAUUUGGUUCUUUUAAAAAUAAUUUUUCAUUUUCUAUUUAGUGAGACAUUUUCAUACUUUUAGUUCUUUACACAUUAUUUUUCUUUAGUUCUCUGAACCUAUUUAAAAUAGCCAAUUUAAAGUCUUCAUCUAAAAAUCCAAUGUCUAGACUUCCUCAGGUGUCUAUUUUUUAUUCCUCCCAUGUAUGGAACAUACUUUCUUCUUUAUGUGUCUCAUAAUUUUUCUGUGGAAAACUGGACAUUUCAAAG